rnacentral:lncRNA from 1 species
GGCCUAGAAGCAAUCCAUCACGUGAUCCAAUGGCUGUUAUCGCUCCCGACUUUGAAUAGAAUUCUUUUGCAUGAUCCGACGGUCAGAACUUCAUCAGAACCCAGAUCCAACGGCUGACAUUCGAUCCGACUUUGAUAAGGAUUAAAACUAUGAUUUUUUAUCAGAUCUGGAUGGUUCAAGCUCCAUCCGACGGCCAGGAAUAUUUUUAAGAAGAUUAAUACGGUUUUUAAGGGUUUUAGGACUCCUU